rnacentral:rRNA from 1 species
CACGUAGGGUGCGAGCGUUGUCCGGAAUUAUUGGGCGUAAAGAGCUCGUAGGCGGUUUGUCGCGUCGGCCGUGAAAACUUGGGGCUUAACCCCGAGCCUGCGGUCGAUACGGGCAGACUUGAGUUCGGCAGGGGAGACUGGAAUUCCUGGUGUAGCGGUGAAAUGCGCAGAUAUCAGGAGGAACACCGGUGGCGAAGGCGGGUCUCUGGGCCGAUACUGACGCUGAGGAGCGAAAGCGUGGGGAGCGAACAGG